UGGGGAAUUUUGGACAAUGGGCGAAAGCCUGAUCCAGCAAUGCCGCGUGUGUGAAGAAGGCCUUCGGGUUGUAAAGCACUUUUGUCCGGAAAGAAAUCCUCUGGGUUAAUACCUCGGGGGGAUGACGGUACCGGAAGAAUAAGCACCGGCUAACUACGUGCCAGCAGCCGCGGUAAUACGUAGGGUGCAAGCGUUAAUCGGAAUUACUGGGCGUAAAGCGUGCGCAGGCGGUUUUGUAAGACGGAUGUGAAAUCCCCGGGCUUAACCUGGGAACUGCAUUCGUGACUGCAAGGCUAGAGUAUGGCAGAGGGGGGUAGAAUUCCACGUGUAGCAGUGAAAUGCGUAGAGAUGUGGAGGAAUACCGAUGGCGAAGGCAGCCCCCUGGGCCAAUACUGACGCUCAUGCACGAAAGCGUGGGGGAGCAAACAGGAUUAGAUACCCUGGUAGUCCACGCCCUAAACGAUGUCAACUAGUUGUUGGGGAUUCAUUUCCUUAGUAACGUAGCUAACGCGUGAAGUUGACCGCCUGGGGAGUACG
rnacentral:rRNA from 1 species